ACAAAAUCACAACCGCACCGAAAGUUCUGCUCCUCGCCUCCUGUAACCUAGCCGCCUCCCUCCUCUCACACAAGGAGCCAUGGCCGAGCAUGGUCUCCCUCGCCGGUGACACGGCUCAGGUUUGGACCUCCCACCCCUCGCUUCCCAUAGAUAGGAUUCAAUCAAGGACAACUCGAUGAGAUGAAUCGACCACAGGUUCGCGUACCAUGAAAUUCGGAUCAAGAACACUUCCGAUGCGGCCAAGAUGGAUUUGGAAUAAUCCGCGAUGUUGUAGUUUCUAGAAGAAACGUGUCGAUGAGAUGAACCUGGCGGAGAAAGGGCUCGACAAAGAUUCAGGUUUAAGGAUUAAUUUCUCUAUUCCACAUGUCAAACCCCUCUCUCAUUAUCCCUUUGGCUUGAUCUGUGUUCGUCAGUUUUCCAGGAUUUUUGUCCAUCCGUCCCCAUUCAUGUGGACAGCAGCUCAUCAUGUGGAGGAAUACUUUUCUUGUUUAGAUUGGUUAGACGAGGAGCGUCAUAGAGUCUUGCAAUGUUUCCAUCUCGUGGUUUUCCAAGUUAACUGUAUUGGACGUGUUAGAGCUGACAUUAUCGAUGCAGGUUAAUGGUCACUGACUAAUGGAAUUUGCCAGAUAUCUUCCUUUUGCUUGACAGGGUGCGGAACUGCGGAAGAGUCAGCAACAAUGGCAUAACUUCAUUGCUGUGCGGUAGUGCUACCACCAACAAAUUUUUGGUCUUAUUAGGGAAUGUACCAAGAAUAUGAGGUCACAUACGUCGGCGAGAAUUGCUAUUUGGAUAUCAGCACUGGAUAUGGUAGAGGAAAUAUAAGAAAUACCAUAUAUAGACUAGGGUGGAUAUGAUAUCUUGAUGUAAGAUCAUAAAUUGUCAAAUUCAGACGAUUUUGAUGUAUUGAAUGGUGUCCCACAGAGUACAUAGGACUAUGUAGUGUAUCAUAUUAUGAUGCAAGAUUGUAAAAUGAUUACUCUUCAGAUGAUUUUUGUGUAUCGAAUGGUGUACACUAAUAAAUAUUCAAUUAUAUGUGAUGAAAUGCAUACAUAUUCUUUUA